AGAAGGUUAGCCUAAAUAAAGGCAUUUGAUUUCGGCUCAAAAGAUCCUGGUUAAACCCCAGACCUUCUU
rnacentral:tRNA from 1 species